rnacentral:rRNA from 1 species
CAGCCGCCGCGGUAAUACGGAGGGGGCUAGCGUUGUUCGGAAUUACUGGGCGUAAAGCGCACGUAGGCUGCUUGGUAAGUUAGAGGUGAAAGCCUGGAGCUCAACUCCAGAAUUGCCUUUAAGACUGCCGAGCUAGAACGUCGGAGAGGUGAGUGGAAUUCCGAGUGUAGAGGUGAAAUUUGUAGAUAUUCGGAAGAACACCAGUGGCGAAGGCGGCUCACUGGACGACUGUUGACGCUGAGGUGCGAAAGCGUGGGGAGCAAACAGGAUUAGAUACCCCCGUAGUCCCUGUCUCUUAUAC